GACGCCAACCAAUAAGAUCCUUUCUCUUCAGUGUAAACGGAAGUGAACAGUGACCAACAACAAUUACCAGGUGAAGGACAUCUCACUGGAGGCCACAGGAUCUCUGUGAAGACAGCGGGACACAAUACAUGGAGAGAUGACCAACCAAUCACUAUUGAUGAGCGGAGUGGAACCUCAACCCAGCAUGUUAUCAUGAUAGAGUCUGUAGAUGCAGUGGCUGCAGGUCCUGGAGGAUCGUCUGGUCAAGCAGAAGAGGACUGAAGGAGAGGAGGACCCACGACACAGCAGAGACAUCCAGACUGGAGCAGCGUCUGGAGCACCCCCUGUAGCCACGGAGCACCUCGCCUCAGAGGAACGCAGAACACCUUCCUUAAGUCAGAGACAGACACCAACAGUUUAACUGUAACACAAAGGCUCUUACACACAGCAUCAGACCCAGAGAGACUGGGGCUGGGGACACUGGGCUGUCUUCCUGGCUCAGAGUAUUUACCGGUAUGUCACCAGAGCCAGAGGAUGGUUCAUUCCCUUGGAGAUGGUGACACGUUACACACUGGUGUUGAUGAUCUGUCUUGUUCUUACACUACAGCGAUGGAUCCUGGCAACAUGCCCUUGGGUUUAGAGACACAGACUGAUCUGUCUAGAGGGGACUGGAACCGGUACAGUAGUAGUGUAUACUCUGAAGGGUGCCUAGAUAAGGAAAGGGAGGGUCUCAUCGUAGAUAAAGUGACUGUGAAAGUGAAGGGCUACGUUCCUCCCACAUGGAAUGCAGAUAGUCACCUAGGAGACGGACACUUAGAUUACAGGGAAAGCUUAGAGACAAAUCCAGAUCGCGACCCAGUGUGCACGUCCAUGGGGCCUUCCGAUUCACACGACCGCGUCCUUUUCGAUCAGGUAUUGCACUCUUUGCGAGACGCAGAGUUGGUGAAGCAUGGAGGAGGAGGUGUGAUGGUUUCGGGGUGCUUUGCUGUUGACACUGUCUGUCAUUUAUUUAGAAUUCAAGGCAAACUUAACCAGCAUGUCUACCACAGCAUUCUGCAGCGAUACGCCGUCCCAUCUGGUUUGCGCUUAGGACUAUCAUUUGUUUUUCAACAGGACAAUGACCCAACACACCUCCAGGCUGUGUAAGGGAUAUUUGAUCAAGAAGGAGAGUGAUGGAGUGCUGCAUCAGAUCACCUGGCCUCCACAAUCACCAAUUACAAUCACCCAAUCUCGAACCAAUUGAGAUGGUUUGGGAUGAGUUGGACCACAGAGUGAAGGAAAAGCAGUGCUCAGCAUAUAUGGGAACUCCUUCAGGCAUUCCUCAUGGAGCUGGUUGAGAGAAUGCCAAGAGUGUGCAUAGCUGUCAUCAAGGCAAAGGGUG